AGAGAGAAGCUUGUCUCUGAAACAGUGAGUCUUCAGUGACAUGCAGACAGCUACCCCGACAGGAGCUUCUUAUUGAGAUCAGCCUGGUAGCCACAAGCUCAACAAGCCAAUCAUGACUGUGGCUCCACCCAUCAAAAUAUAAGGAGACACACACACACACUGACCCAUGAAGGCGAUGUAUGGGGAGACGGUGCUGCCCACACGUGAUGCCAUGGAGAUGAUUCCCAGGGCCAUGUUUCUCACCACGGUGGGGAAGAGCUCCGACAUGUACAGCAGUACUAUCCACUUUGGUGGGCCUCGUACCAUCAGGUAUGAGCUUGAUGAAGAGCAGCAGGGCUCCAGACAGCAGCAGGGUGAAGGGGAGGGUGAAGCGUCGGGGGGUGUAGCGGAUCAAGAACCAGACGCUGCCGUACGCCAGGAACUCUGUGGCCGCCGCAACCAAGCAGUUGAAGUAGGGGUCUCCGUCCAUAUUGGGCGUGUUCAGGGACAUCCCAUAAUAUGUCAUGGAGAUGAUGGUCCUGAGGUGGAGGACAGAGAAGUCGUGAUGUACGCAAGUAUGCACUAGCAUGUGGUCAACUGUGUAUAGUAUGUAGUAAUCAUGCAGUGUGUAGUGUGUAUUUAUCCUACUGUGAAGGAUAUAUUUUGCAGCAGUGUGGUGUAGUAUGUAGUGUGUAUUAUAGUGUGAAGCAUGCAGUAUGCGGUUUUCAUGUGUGUUGUGCACAGUGCAUGCUAUACUGUAUAGGGUAUAUUUUGCAACAGUGUGGUGUAG